rnacentral:rRNA from 1 species
AGAGUUUGAUCAUGGCUCAGGAUGAACGCUAGCUACAGGCUUAACACAUGCAAGUCGGAGUGGCAGCAUCAUCAAAGCUUGCUUUGAUGGAUGGCGACCGGCGCACGGGUGAGUAACACGUAUCCAACCUGCCGACAACACUGGGAUAGCCUUUACGAAAAGAAAGAUUAAUACCGGAUGGUUACUAGUUUUCCCGCAUGGGAUGAUUAUUAAG